rnacentral:rRNA from 1 species
AGGACGAACGCUGGCGGCGUGCUUAACACAUGCAAGUCGAGCGGAAAGGCCCUUCGGGGUACUCGAGCGGCGAACGGGUGAGUAACACGUGAGCAACCUGCCCUUAGCUCCGGGAUAGCUCCGGGAAACCGGAAUUAAAUACCGGAUACGACCACGGCCGACAUCUGCUGUGGUGGAAAGGAUUCCGGCUAAGGAUGGGCUCGCGGCCUAUCAGCUAGUUGGUGGGUAAUGGCCCACCAAGGCGACGACGGGUA